GUCGGAGUGGCGGAAUUGGCAGACGCGCACGUUUGAGGGGCGUGUGGGAGACCGUGCGGGUUCAAGUCCCGCCUUCGACA
rnacentral:tRNA from 1 species